GAAAAUUAGGAACUGAAUUGAAUUGAAUAAAGUUGAAAUGAAUAGUUUAUGACAUAACAAAUCAAGAACUGAACUAAACAAAACUGAACUUUCCCCCUUUUACGCAACAACUCUCACUCAAGUAUGACCAAAUCUUCCAAAACUAAUGCAUGCCUCAACAAAACAGGAUCAAAUAGUUCUACCCUAAAGAAUCUCUUAGCAACUCAUCACCACCUAACGAAUCUCUUAACAACAAUUUUUUUUAAGAUUGAAUCUCCAACUCACUCCCCAAACCGCGAGCCCCACUCUUCACCACCCCCACCAACCACUUCGCCACCAUCGCACCCACCAACCACUUCGCCACCAUCGCACAAAUCACCAAUUGAACCCACCAACCAUGGCAUCACCAACCACCGAACCCACUAACCACCUCAUCACUAGUCGCAAAUCAUCAGCCACCGAACCCACUCACCACCACCUCUACCUUAAGUCGACGCUGCGCCAUUUGCACCUCCAAUUGUGGUGGAAGGAUGGAGUACUGCUGCCGCUACCAUUAGCACCUUCUUGUCGCAUGAACUAUUGGGUGCGGACUGUUGUACCCAAUAGUUUGUGAAUAAUUUUAAGCUUUGUGUAUCAGAUUUUAUCCAUGUUCUAAAACAAGGUUUUAAGCCUCCUAGUCAUAAGCCUGAAUCAAAACAUGCUUGAUUUUUAAAAAUUGGUUGAUCCUUUACCCCAAAAAAAAAAAAAAAAAAA